rnacentral:rRNA from 1 species
UUAAGCAUAUCAAUAAGCGGAGGAAAAGAAACCAACAGGGAUUGCCUCAGUAACGGCGAGUGAAGCGGCAACAGCUCAAAUUUGAAAUCUGGCCUUGUGCCCGAAUUGUAAUUUGUAGAGGAUGCUUUUGGCACGGCACCUUCCGAGUUACCUGGAACGGUUCGCCACAGAGGGUGAGAGCCCCGUAUGGUUGGAUGCCUAGCCUUUGUAAAGCUCCUUCGACGAGUCGAGUAGUUUGGGAAUGCUGCUCAAAAUGGGAGGUAAAUUUCUUCUAAAGCUAAAUACCGGCCAGAGACCGAUAGCGCACAAGUAGAGUGAUCGAAAGAUGAAAAGCACUUUGAAAAGAGGGUUAAACAGCACGUGAAAUUGUUGAAAGGGAAGCGCUUGUGACCAGACUUGCGCCCUGGGAAUCAACUGGCGUUCUCGCCAGUGCACUUCACUGGGCUCAGGCCAGCAUCGGUUCUCUUAGGGGGAUAAAAGCUUCAGGAACGUAGCUCCUCCGGGAGUGUUAUAGCCUGUUGCAGAAUACCCUUGAGGGGACCGAGGUACGCGCUCCGCAAGGAUGCUGGCGUAAUGGUCAUCAGCGGCCCGUCUUGAAACACGGACCAAGGAGUCAAGCAUUAGGGCGAGUGUUUGGGUGUUAAACCCGCACGCGUAAUGAAAGUGAAUGUAGGUGAGAGCUUCGGCGCAUCAUCGACCGAUCCUGAUGUUUUCGGAUGGAUUUGAGUAAGAGCCUUACCGCUUGGACCCGAAAGAUGGUGAACUAUGCCUGUAUAGGGUGAAGCCAGAGGAAACUCUGGUGGAGGCUCGCAGCGGUUCUGACGUGCAAAUCGAUCGUCAAAUAUGGGCAUGGGGGCGAAAGACUAAUCGAACUAUCUAGUAGCU